GAUUUCAAGGUUAUGGCAUGUCAGCAGCACCUUCACAGUUGUUUAAGCUGAUGUCUGCUCUCUGUACAGAUGCAGAAUCUGAGGUAUGUGAAAAUCUGUGAAGGAGCCUGCUAUUAUAGUACCAUUUGAAAAGGAGGAAGCAGGAAGCUAGGAGUGAACAAAGCAUAGGGUUGAUGGAUACAGUGCUCACAAAAUUGCCCCACCAUUGUCAUUGAUAUCACCUUUAAACAAGUUUUAGAGAACUGAAACCAGAUAUGAUGUGAAGUUAAAGAAACAGUUUAAUGGGGCCAAUGGACAGGACCUUCUGGCAGAUUAGCCGCUGGGGAUCCCAAUUGCUCACAGUAGCAGCUGUUGUCACUGAUUCUGUCACAAGCAGUGCUGAGCAGGAGUCAAGUCAUGCUGGGGAGAAGGUCCUCUCUGUUGG